CCGCCCAGGCAACGGAUCCGUGCUCGGCCACUCGCCCUCGUCGUCCCGGUGACUUCCCCCACACCCUCGAGCUUCCUUCGUCCUCGCCUCCGAGCAGCAACAUGGAGGCUGCCGCGAGGAGCGCCGCGUGCAAGUCGCAGUCGCCGGCGGGGUAGUGCAGGAUUGGCUUGGCGCACUGACCCCCUCCCCCUCUCCUUCCCUUGCCGGCAGAUCCGAGCGACGCAGCCGUGCAGCUCGCUUGUUCAUAGUAUGCGGUAUCGGUGGUGCGGGGCAAGCAGUACGCGGCCAUGCCUGCUAUGAUGCUGUCCGGCGUCGGCGUAAAGUGCAGCUCGCUAGCUCGUGGCAUCCGGUUCUGGCGGUGCAAGCAAGCAGUACGCGGCCACGCCCGCGUCCAAGUGGUGCAGAUCGGUGCUCUUCGAAGAAGUCCGCUGUGGCCACCUCCUAAAAAACCAGCGCCGCCGCACGGGUAAGGGCCGCUGCCGCUGGAUUCAAGAUGGGUCGUGGCCUUGCGACCCCGCCUCUGGCUGCCAGGACCACCAUCUUCUCCUCCCUGCCUUCUCCUGCCGCCCUGGAGCACCGACACUUUUGGAUCUCGGCAAUCGCCCGGCGCACCACGUCGCCCCCUCCUCUGGUGUCGUAUACAGGGGCUACGGGCUGGUGGCUAAGGAGAGAUAGGAGGAGGUAGGGAGUCCAUGUCCAUGGCGGACAGUGAGAUUUCGUGCAUUUUUUGUCUACUCCCGCAGGAUUCAAUGGUUUUGGUGCAAAAAUUGUGAAUUUUGGUCAUUUUUUCUACAAUCCAGUGAAUUUUGCUUCUCGCUGUACAAUGAUUUUGCGGGAUGGCCACUGCCGCCGGCUACACUUAGGCAGAGGGCAGGUAUCCCAGGCUUUGAUUCGAGGCCACCGCACCCCUCCCGUGCAGUUCGUUCCGGGAAGACUCGGUGUAGUAUUUUCUUCAAGAGAAAAGAACAAAAAAAGUUGCAGUCCGUUCUAUAGACCAGCGGUUCUGUUCGUGGAUGCUUUCAGUCCAGCACUGCAGUUUGUGGGCAUGCGGAUUCGACCAGAGCAAGCAUGCAGAUCGCCUGCUCGAAAUUUUGAGAAUGCAAUUUUUAUGUGCAGCUCGGCCAGGUUAUGCAUGCAGUUUGCUCUUUACUUCAUAGGAGUUAAUUAAUUAAAAAACCGAGGUCCACUGUAACAAAUAUUUGCAGCUACGUUGUGCAAAAACAAUAUAAAAAAUGUUUGCGGUUCUCGAUGGUUCACUUGGGUAUAUGUCGCGGCUCACUUCCCUCAUCUUUGUGGUCCACUUUCAUUUGUGCUCUUGUGUGAAGUGCAAUUUUUUUUAGAAAAAGCAAAAACAGAGUAAUGAGGUUCACUUUUAAGCGUGUUGACGUUCGCUUGUGCUCUAUGUGAAGUGCAAAAAUUUUAGGGAAGCAAAAACAGAGUAAUGAGGUUGUUGAUGUUCGCUUGUGCUCUAUGUGAAGUGCAAAUUUUUUAUGAAAGCAAAAACAGAGUAAUGAGGUUCACUUUGAAGUGUGUUGACGUUCGCUUGUGCUCUAUGUGAAGUGCAAAAAUUUUAGGGAAGCAAAAACAGAGUAAUGAGGUUGUUGAUGUUAGCUUGUGCUCUAUGUGAAGUGCAAAUUUUUUAUGGAAGCAAAAACAGAGUAAUGAGGUUCACUUUGAAGUGUGUUGAGGUUCACUUGUGCUCUAUGUGAAGAGCAAAAAUGUGAGGGAAGCAAAAACAGUAAGGU
rnacentral:rRNA from 1 species